GAGACACUAGUAAAAAGGCUGAUUACACUGCCUUGUCAAGACAGUAUUGUGGGUUGAAACCCCACGUGUCUCA
rnacentral:tRNA from 1 species